rnacentral:rRNA from 1 species
AACGAACGCUGGCGGCAGGCUUAACACAUGCCAGUCGAGCGGGAAUCCUUGUGGUGUCAGCGGCAGACGGGUGGGUAACGCGUGGGAAAGUGGCCUUCGGUUCGGAAUAAAUCAGGGGAACUUGAGCUAAAACCGGAUACGAGCGCGAGCAGAAACGCUUAUCUGACGAAGGAUCGGCGCUAGUCUGAUUAGCUAGUUGGUGAGGUUACGGCUCACCAAGGCGACGAUCAGUAGCUGGUCUGCGAGGAUGCUCCGCCACACUGGGACUGAGACACGGCCCCGACCCCGACGGGACGCAGCAGUAGAGAAUAUUGUACAAUGGGGGCAACCCUAGUCCCGCCAUGCCGCGUAUGUGAUGACUGCCUUAGUAUUGCAAAUCUCUUUUCGCCGAGACGAGAAUGACGGUACCGGGUAAAGAAGCCCCGGCUAACUUCGUG